rnacentral:rRNA from 1 species
ACGGUCAGGUGCGAAAACGUGGGGAACCAACAGGAUUAGAUUCCCUGGGUGUUCCCCCCGUUAACGAAGUUGAAUUAGAGGUUGUGGUCCUGAAGCGUGGCUUUUGGAACUUACGCGUUAAAUCGGCCCCCUGGGGAGUUCGGCCCCCAGGUUAAAACUCAAAAGAAUUGACGGGGGGCCCCCCCAACGGUGGAACAAGUGGUUUAAUUUGAUGCAACCCGAAGAACCUUUCCUUCUUUUGACCUUCAAGGAAUCCUAUAGAGAUAGAGGAGGUCCUUUGGGAACCUUGAAACCGGUUCUGCAAGGCCGUUGUCAACUCGUGUUGGGAAAAGGUGGGGUUAAUUCCCCCACGAACGCCACCCUUUUCCUUUGUUGCCAACACGUUAUGGUGGGAACUCAAAGGAGACUGCCGGUGAUAAACCGGAGGAAGGUGGGGAUGACGUCAAGUCAUCAUGGCCCUUACGAGUAGGGCUACACACGUGCUACAAUGGCAGAUACAAAGAGAAGCGACCUCGCGAGAGCAAGCGGAACUCAUAAAGUCCGUCGUAGUCCGGAUUGGAGUCUGCAACUCGACUCCAUGAAGUCGGAAUCGCUAGUAAUCGUAGAUCAGAAUGCUACGGUGAAUACGUUCCCGGGCCUUGUACACACCGCCCGUCACACCAUGGGAGUGGGUUGCAAAAGAAGUAGGUAGCUUAACCUUCGGGAGGGCGCUUACCAGCU